rnacentral:rRNA from 1 species
GUGGAAUAUAUGGCAAUGGGGGAAACCCUGACCCAGCAACGCCGCGUGAAGGAAGAAGGCUGUCGGGUUGUAAACUUCUGUUACCAGGGACGAAGGACGUGACGGUACCUGGAGAAAAAGCAACGGCUAACUACGUGCCAGCAGCCGCGGUAAUACGUAGGUUGCAAGCGUUGUCCGGAUUUACUGGGUGUAAAGGGCGUGUAGGCGGAGAAGCAAGUUGUGAGUGAAAUCCAUGGGCUCAACCCAUGAACUGCUCUCAAAACUGUUUCCCUUGAGUAUCGGAGAGGCAAGCGGAAUUCCUAGUGUAGCGGUGAAAUGCGUAGAUAUUAGGAGGAACACCAGUGGCGAAGGCGGCUUGCUGGACGACAACUGACGCUGAGGCGCGAAAGCGUGGGGAGCAAACAGG